rnacentral:rRNA from 1 species
UACGUAGGUCCCGAGCGUUGUCCGGAUUUAUUGGGCGUAAAGCGAGCGCAGGUGGUUUAUUAAGUCUGGUGUAAAAGGCAGUGGCUCAACCAUUGUAUGCAUUGGAAACUGGUAGUCUAGAGUGCAGGAGAGGAGAAUGGAAUUCCUAGUGUAGCGGUGAAAUGCGUAGAGAUUAGGAAGAACACCAGUGGCGAAGGCGAUUCUCUGGACUGUAACUGACGCUGAGGCUCGAAAGCGUGGGGAGCAAACAGG